rnacentral:rRNA from 1 species
GAUGAACGCUAGCGGCAGGCCUAAUACAUGCAAGUCGAACGGUGUCUUCGGACAUAGUGGCGCACGGGUGCGUAACACGUAUGCAACCUACCUUACAUUGGGGGAUAGCCUUUCGAAAGGGAGAUUAAUACCGCAUAAGACAGUAGCUGGGCAUCCAGCAGCUGUUAAAGAUUUAUCGAUGUAAGCUGGGCAUGCGUCCAAUGAGCUAGUUGGUGAGGUAACGGCUCACCAAGGCAAUGAUUGGUAGGGGAACUGAGAGGUCAAUCCCCCACACUGGCACUGAGAUACGGGCCAGACUCCUACGGGAGGCAGCAGUAGGGAAUAUUGGGAAAUGGACGCAAGUCUGACCCAGCCAUGCCGCGUGCAGGAUGAAGGCGUUAUGCGUUGUAAACUGCUUUUAUACAGGAAGAAACGACUCUUGCGAGAGGCAUUGACGGUACUGUAUGAAUAAGCACCGGCUAACUCCGUGCCAGCCGCCGCGGUAAGAC